rnacentral:lncRNA from 1 species
AUGGCAGGAAGAGAGGCUGAGGUGGAGUGCAUUUCUACAACUCAGAUAGGAGAGGACCUUAUCCACAGCACAUCUCAGGCAGGAGAGGACCUUGUCCACAGCACAUCUCAGUCAGGAGAGGACCUUGUCCACAGCACAUCUCAGACAGGAGAGGACCUUAUCCGCAGCACAUCUCAGACAGGAGAGGACCUUGUCCACAGCACAUCUCAGACAGGAGAGGACCUUAUCCACGCACCUCUCAGAAGGAGGGACCUUAUCCACAGCACAUCUCAGCAGGAGAGGACUUGUCCACAGCCACUCUCAGACAGGAGAGGACUUAUCCACAGCACAUUCCGACGGAGAGGACCUUGUCCACAGCACAUCUCAGACAGGAGAGACCUUGUCCACAGCACAUCUCCAGAUAGGAGAGGACCUUGUCCACAGCCAUCUCAGAUAGGAGGAGGACCUUGUCCACAGCACAUCUCAGAUAGGAGAGGACCUUGUCCACAGCACAUCUCAGACAGGAGAGGACCUUAUCCACAGCACAUCUCAGACAGGAGAGGACCUUGUCCACAGCACAUCUCAGACAGGAGAGGAUCUUGUCCACAGCACAUCUCAGACAGGAGCAGUCCAAGGGACACAGAGGGAAGGGUCCGGUGUGGGGGAACCAAAGGAAAUUGAAUUCUAAGUGCACAGGAAAAGGAGUCUCCCCCAAAAGCCAUCAGAGAACAAAGGAACAAGGGAGUGAAGUCACACUUCCUUUUGUCUACUUACUGUGAAAAUGUAUGUGAACUCCAGUCAGGGUUUAAUUAAUGCUUUCCAUUUAAGACAGAAAAAAUAAACAACCCUGUCUUGUACCCCAGACUGUAUGGUUUCAGUGUGAUUGCAAAGGAUUGUGGGUAGAGGAUUUGUAUCAUCAUUUGCAUUUCCACUCCCUACAGUGACCAACCACACAGUCCUUCAGGUGAGGAGGCAACUGUUUGCCGUGGUGGAUGGAAAUCUGCCACAGUACCCCUACUAAACAUAAUCCGGUCGAAGGACCAUGAAAAAGAAACCCAAGAUAUUUAACUGGUUGGAUAGAUGUCACCAGGUGUACUCAGCUCCGGUCAGAGAGCAAGCAGACGACAGAGAGGACUGGUGGUUGGAUAUGGUGAAGGUGUGUGAUUCUGCAACAAAGGAGAGGCAUAAUGUCAGGUUGCAUAACAUAAAAGGUCAUGUUGAUAAGGACAAAGCUAUUAAAACAUAUCUCAAAUGAUGAAAAUGACAUUGUUAGGUAACUACAAUAAACAUGGAAAAUAGGAAACAAACUUACUCUUAACUUGAACGCACACAACUGGAAAGAAAUGUAGGAAUUUCUUGCCAGGAUUAAAAUACAAAAGAUGUGAAUGAGCGUAUCUGGGCAGUCCGGAUAAUUAGUGACAAGUUUGUGCCAUUGAGAGAGUCAACAGGUAGUCAACAAGUUCCAUCUCAGCAGUAUGCUGCGCCACUGAGCGCUUUUGUACAAAACCAAUAACAACCUUUGGAGUAUUGAGUGUCAGUGCAAUGUGCUUCAUCUUAUCAUCCUAAAAGCUCAUUUAUGCUUGAUCUGGAAAUGUGGUCGGAGGCUGUGUGGAGAGUGUGGCGCAAUUUCGGAGUCUGCAGAGGCAUGCAGAGGUCAAAUCAAGCUCCUUACCGCAUCGCUGUGCACCUCUCAAAUUUUGCAACAAUGCGGAGGGCUCCUUAAAGCUCCCCAUUGACAUGAUUGGUUGACGGUAGGUGGGGGCAGGAGGUCCUGUAUAAACACAAACUCACUUCACAAGAAGUAUGAAAACCCUGAAGUCUGCAGAGGUUGCAUCACAGUAAAUGCUGUACGGGCACUUCAGACAUCAGAUUGACCACGCAGAGCCUUUAUUAACACUAUUGUACUUGAGGACUAUUUCUAUGGUUUUAUUUAGUGAGAGUCAUGACGCCAAAAGUCAAAUUAUGAUAUUAAAGUAAUGCAUGCUACCUACACAACGCUUCUGAAUACUAGUGAUGCUAAUUUUUUGUGAACACCGAUUCAUGUAGCAAUACAAUGAGUGGUUGAAUUAUUCAGUACCAAUUUGUUUUCAGGUUUUUUAAUUUUUCAAUGUUUAUUCAAGAAAACAUGCACUUGAUGGUUGCUCCAAACUGUUCACCUAUUUUUUAUAUUCCCCCCCCCCAUGAACACUGUUAAAGAUUUAGACUGCUUGUUCUCCUCCUCAGUUUAGUUUGUUCUUAAAAUACGGUGCCUCUCCCUUCAGUUUCCUGUCGUAUCUCAUCAAUGUAAACACAACCGUUCUCGAUGCACUAACUUAUUUCCCC